UUCUUAUCAAGAGAGGCGGAGGGACUGGCCCUAUGAUGCCCGGCAACCUGAAUGUUAUUUGUUCAAUGGUGCCAAUUCCUGCGGGGUAACCUGAAAGAUGAGAU
rfam:Clostridium kluyveri DSM 555, complete genome.